UUCCACCUACCAGUACCAAAUUCAAUAAAGUUGUUGACAUUCAGAUGUGACCACUUUAUAGUAACCUUAGUUUUCG
rnacentral:tRNA from 1 species